UACGGAGGGGGCUAGCGUUGUUCGGAAUUACUGGGCGUAAAGCGCGCGUAGGCGGCUUUGCAAGUCGGGUGUGAAAUCCCCAGGCUUAACCUGGGAACUGCAUUCGAGACUGCAUUGCUAGAGUAUGGGAGAGGGAAGUGGAAUUUCCGGUGUAGCGGUGAAAUGCGUAGAUAUCGGAAGGAACAUCAGUGGCGAAAGCGGCUUCCUGGACCAGUACCGACGUUCAGGCACGAAAGCGUGGGGAGCAAACAGG
rnacentral:rRNA from 1 species